rnacentral:rRNA from 1 species
UACGUAGGGGGCAAGCGUUGUCCGGAAUCAUUGGGCGUAAAGCGCGUGUAGGCGGUUCAGUAAGUCUGCUGUGAAAGUCCAGGGCUCAACCCUGGGAUGCCGGUGGAUACCGCUGGGCUAGAGUACGGAAGAGGCGAGUGGAAUUCCCGGUGUAGCGGUGAAAUGCGCAGAUAUCGGGAGGAACACCAAUUGCGAAGGCAGCUCGCUGGGACGUUACUGACGCUGAGACGCGAAAGCGUGGGGAGCAAACAGG